CAAUAGCGUAUAUUAAAGUUGUUGCAGUUAAAAAGCUCGUAGUUGAACUUCAGGUCUGGCUGGGUGGUCUGCCUUCUUGGUCUGUACUGUCCGGCUGGAUCUUACCUCUUGGUGAGCCGGCAUGCCCUUCACUGGGUGUGUCGGGGAACCAGGACUUUUACCUUGAGAAAAUUAGAGUGUUCAAAGCAGGCUUAUGCCCGAAUACAUUAGCAUGGAAUAAUAAAAUAGGACGUGCGGUUCUAUUUUGUUGGUUUCUAGAGUCGCCGUAAUGAUUAAUAGGGAUAGUUGGGGGCAUUAGUAUUCCGUUGCUAGAGGUGAAAUUCUUGGAUUUACGGAAGACUAACUAUUGCGAAAGCAUUUGCCAAGGAUGUUUUCAUUAA
rnacentral:rRNA from 1 species